rnacentral:rRNA from 1 species
AUUGAACGCUGGCGGCAUGCCUUACACAUGCAAGUCGAACGGUAACAGGUCUUCGGAUGCUGACGAGUGGCGAACGGGUGAGUAAUACAUCGGAACGUGCCCGAUCGUGGGGGAUAACGAAGCGAAAGCUUUGCUAAUACCGCAUACGAUCUACGGAGGAAAGCAGGGGACCGCAAGGCCUUGCGCGAACGGAGCGGCCGAUGGCAGAUUAGGUAGUUGGUGGGAUAAAAGCUUACCAAGCCGACGAUCUGUAGCUGGUCUGAGAGGACGACCAGCCACACUGGGACUGAGACACGGCCCAGACUCCUACGGGAGGCAGCAGUGGGGAAUUUUGGACAAUGGGCGAAAGCCUGAUCCAGCCAUGCCGCGUGCAGGAUGAAGGCCUUCGGGUUGUAAACUGCUUUUGUACGGAACGAAAAGACUCUGGUUAAUACCUGGGGUCCAUGACGGUACCGUAAGAAUAAGCACCGGCUAACUACGUG